rnacentral:rRNA from 1 species
AUUGAACGCUGGCGGCAUGCCUAACACAUGCAAGUCGAACGGCAGCACAAUAAAGAUUUCGGUCUUUAUGGGUGGCGAGUGGCGGACGGGUGAGUAACGCGUAGGAAUCUGUCCUGGAGAGUGGGAUAACCCGAGGAAACUCGGGCUAAUACUGCAUGACAUUGAGAGAUCAAAAGCAGGGGACCGAAAGGCCUUGCGCUCUGGGGUGAGCCUACGUCGGACUAGCUAGUCGGUGGGGUAAAGGCCUACCAAGGGGACGAUCCGUAGCUGGUCUGGGAGGAUGACCAGCCACACGGGGACUGAGACACGGCCCAGACUCCUACGGGAGGCAGCAGUGGGGAAUCUUGGACAAUGGGGGAAACCCUGAUCCAGCGAUGCCGCGUGUGUGAAGAAGGCCUUCGGGUUGUAAAGCACUUUAGGUGGGGAAGAAAGGUAGCGAGUGAAUAACUUUCUGCUGUGACGGUACCCACAGAAUAAGCACCGGCUAACUCUGUGCCAGCAGCCGCCGUAA